UACGUAGGGGGCGAGCGUUAUCCGGAAUUACUGGGCGUAAAGCGCACGCAGGCGGUUCGCCAAGUUUGGAGUGACAGUUGUCGGCUCAACCGACGAAGGACUUCAAAAACUGGUGAACUUGAGGACGAGAGAGGAACAUGGAACUCCAGGUGUAGUAGUGAAAUGCGUAGAUAUCUGGAAGAACACCAAUGGCGAAGGCAAUGUUCUGGCUCGUUUCUGACGCUCAGGUGCGAAAGCCAGGGGAGCGAACGGG
rnacentral:rRNA from 1 species